AGGUGUAAGCGCCGCGAGACGUUCAGCCGAGCAUUACUAAUAAGUCGUGAGACUUGGCCA
rnacentral:rRNA from 1 species